GAUGAACGCUAGCGGCAGGCCUAACACAUGCAAGUCGAGGGGUAUAGUAGCAAUACUAGAGACCGGCGCACGGGUGCGUAACGCGUAUGCAAUCUACCUUUUACAGGGGAAUAGCCCAGAGAAAUUUGGAUUAAUGCCCCAUAGUAUAUAAGAAUCGCAUGGUUUUUAUAUUAAAGUUCCAACGGUAAAAGAUGAGCAUGCGUCCCAUUAGUUAGUUGGUAAGGUAACGGCUUACCAAGACUAUGAUGGGUAGGGGUCCUGAGAGGGAGAUCCCCCACACUGGUACUGAGACACGGACCAGACUCCUACGGGAGGCAGCAGUGAGGAAUAUUGGACAAUGGGCGCAAGCCUGAUCCAGCCAUGCCGCGUGCAGGAAGACGCAUCUAUGGUGUGUAAACUGCUUUUGUACAGGAAGAAACACUCCCUCGUGAGGGAGCUUGACGGUACUGUAAGAAUAAGGAUCGGCUAACUCCGUGCCAGCAGCCGCGGUAAUACGGAGGAUCCAAGCGUUAUCCGGAAUCAUUGGGUUUAAAGGGUCCGUAGGCGGUUUAAUAAGUCAGUGGUGAAAGCCCAUCGCUCAACGAUGGAACGGCCAUUGAUACUGUUAGACUUGAAUUAUUAGGAAGUAACUAGAAUAUGUAGUGUAGCGGUGAAAUGCUUAGAUAUUACAUGGAAUACCAAUUGCGAAGGCAGGUUACUACUAA
rnacentral:rRNA from 1 species